CCUUCGGGAGCGUGGAGACAGGUGGUGCAUGGUUGUCGUCAGCUCGUGUCGUGAGAUGUUGGGUUAAGUCCCGCAACGAGCGCAACCCUUGCUAUUAGUUGCUAACAGGUAGAGCUGAGCACUCUAAUGGGACUGCCGGUGACAAGCCGGAGGAAGGUGGGGAUGACGUCAAAUCAUCAUGCCCUUUAUGACCUGGGCUACACACGUGCUACAAUGGAUGGUACAGAGAGCAGCGAGGCAGCGAUGUGGAGCGAAUCUCAAAAAGCCAUUCUCAGUUCGGAUUGGAGUCUGCAACUCGACUCCAUGAAGUCGGAAUCGCUAGUAAUCGCGAAUCAGCAUGUCGCGGUGAAUGCGUUCCCGGGCCUU
rnacentral:rRNA from 1 species